GGCAUUUACCGUUUAAACUUCCCUCUUAAAUUGCUCUUGCUGCAUCCGAAAAGUUUGUUAUCCUCCUGGUAUUGACUUCUUGUUUCAUUCCAUUGUGGUUGGAAAAGAUCCUUGGUAUAAUUUCAGUCUUCCUAAAUUUGUUAAGACUUGGUUUGUGGCCUAACACGUGAUCUAUGCUGGAGAAUGUUUCAUGUGCACUUGAGAAGAAUGUAUAUUCUGCUAUUGUUGGGUGGGGUGUUCUGUAUAUUUCUGUUAGGACCAAUUCAUCAACAGUAUUGUUCAAGUACUCUAUUUCUUUACUGAGCUUCUGUUUGGUUGAUCUAUCCAUUAUUGAAGGUGGAGUAUUGAAAUCUCCUACUAAUAUUGUGUUAUUAUUUCUCUCUUUAAUUCUGUCAAUGUUUGCUUCAUGUAUUUGGGUGCUCUUCUCUUAGUGGCAUAUAUACUUAUAAUUAUUAUAUCUUCUUGAUGAAUUGACCCUUUUAUCAUUAUAUAAUGUCCUUGUUUGUCUCUUCUGGCAGUUUUGACUUAAAGUCUAUUUAGUCUGAUGUUGUAAGUAUGGCCACCUCUGCUCUCUUUUUGUUACUAUUUGCAUAGAGUAUCUUUUUCAAUCAUUUCACUUUCAGCCUACCUAUGUUCUUACAUCCAGAUUUAGUCUCCUAUAGAUAAUAUAAUUGGAUCUUAUUUUUAAUCCAUUCAGCCACUCUUUGUCUUUUGAUUGAGGAGUUUAAUCUAUUUACAUUUAAAGUAAUUACUGAUAGGGAAGGACUUACUAUUUCCAUUUUGUUAAUUGUUUUCCAAGUGUCUUAUAGCUAUUUUGUCCCUCUAUUCCUCUCUUGCUGCCUUCCUUCAUCUUUUGUUGAUUUUUUGUAGUGACAUGCUUUGAUUCCUUUCUCAUUUUCUUUCAUGCAUCUUCUAUAGGUGUUUUCUUUGUGUUUAUGAUGGGGUUUACAUAAAACAUCUUAUAGUUAUAACAAUCUAUUUUAAACUGAUAACAGCUUAACUUCAGUUACUAAAAAAACUGUACUCCGUCUCUUCCCCCCACCUUGUGUUAUUGAUGUCACAAAUUACAUCUUUUUAUAUUUUGUAUCCAUUAACAAGUUUUUAUAGUUAUAGUCAUUUUUUGUGCUUUUAUUUUUUUAAAUCUACCCUUGAAUUAAAAUGAUUUACACAUCAUAAUUAUAGUAAUGGUGUGUAAUUACCCAGUUCUGUGUUUGUCUAUAUAUUUUCCUUUACCAGAGGGCUUUAUAAUUUUGUUUCCUUUUGUGUUGCUGUCUGGUAUUCUUUUGUUUCAACUUGAAGAACUCUCUUUAGCAAUUUCUUGCAAGGCAGGUCUAGUGAUGUUGACCUGCCUCAGCUUUUAUUUAUCCAGGAAAGUUUUUAUCUCUCCUUCAUUUUUGAAAGACAGUUUUGCAUGAUAUAGUAUUCUUUUUUUAAAAAAAUUCACCUUGCUUUUCUUUUCUUUUUUUUUUUUUUAAGAUUUUAUUUAUUUUUUAUUUUUUUCCCCCCAAAGCCCCAGUAGAUAGUUGUAUGUCAUAGCUGCACAUCCUUCUAGUUGCUGUAUGUGGGAUGCGGCCUCAGCAUGGCUGGAGAAGCGGUGCGUCAGUGCGCGCCCGGGAUCCGAACCCGGGCCGCCAGCAGCGGAGUGCGUGCACUUAACCGCUAAGCCAUGGAGCCGGCCCUAGUAUUCUUGAUUGGUAGUGUAAGUGAGCAUAAGUGAGGCCAUUUUGUUACACUAAGUGGCCCCACCCCUCCUCUGUGUGACUACUCGUUGUUCUGCACGUACUCUAAAAAAUUCACAUGCUCUCCGAUUUAUGGCCUCUGCUAACGUAUGUACUCCCAAAUAGCUUGAUAAAUUAAAAAUUUUGUUCUAUGAGUUUCUCUCCAGGAACAGGCUGACCACAGGUGGGGAACACACCUACAAGGUAUCCAUCACAGCUGACAGAAGAAUGGAACAAUGUGAUGCCUGGAGCCCUUCACGCCUGGAGACCAACAUCCCUGGACCCCCUCCUUACUGCUCAUUUUCCCUAUAUAACUGCCUCAAGAUUCUGUAAUCUUUGAAGAUGGUUUUUUGAGACAUUAGUCUACCAUCUUCCUGGUUAUGCUGGCUAAUUGAAUUAAAACUUUGUUUCUCAAUCCCCAA